CUGCAGUGGGGAAUCUUGGACAAUGGGGGCAACCCUGAUCCAGCGACGCCGCGUGGGUGAUGAAGGCCUUCGGGUCGUAAAGCCCUUUUGCCGGGGAAGAUGAUGACGGUACCCGGAGAAGAAGCACCGGCUAACUCUGUGCCAGCAGCCGCGGUAAGACAGAGGGUGCUAGCGUUGUUCGGAAUUACUGGGCGUAAAGGGCGCGUAGGCGGCCAUGUAAGUCGGGUGUGAAAUCCCGGGGGCUCAACCCCGGAACUGCAUUCGAUACUGUGUGGCUUGAGACCGGAAGAGGUGGGUGGAAUACCCAGUGUAGAGGUGAAAUUCGUAGAUAUUGGGUGGAACACCGGUGGCGAAGGCGGCUCACUGGUCCGGUUCUGACGCUGAGGCGCGAAAGCGUGGGGAGCAAACAGGAUUAGAUACCCUGGUAGUCCACGCCCUAAACGAUGUGUGCUAGAUGGUCGGGGGACUUGUCUCUCGGUGUCGGAGUUAACGUUUUAAGCACACCGCCUGGGGGGUACGGCCGCAAGGUUA
rnacentral:rRNA from 1 species